UACAGAGGUCUCAAGCGUUGUUCGGAUUCAUUGGGCGUAAAGGGUGCGUAGGUGGCGCCGUAAGUCAGGUGUGAAAUCUCGGGGCUCAACCCCGAAACUGCACUUGAUACUGCGGUGCUCGAGUACUGGAGGGGAGAUUGGAAUUUACGGUGUAGCAGUGAAAUGCGUAGAUAUCGUAAGGAAGACCAGUGGCGAAGGCGAAUCCCUGGACAGUUACUGACACUGAGGCACGAAGGCCAGGGGAGCAAACGGG
rnacentral:rRNA from 1 species